GGGAGAUUGGCCGAGUGGUUAUGGCGUCAGGUUUAGGCUUACGUGAUCGUAUUUCUUACCCUGAUUUCUUUUGAUUCGCGCGUUCGAAUCGCGCAUCUCUCA
rfam:Trichophyton benhamiae CBS 112371 contig01535.1, whole genome shotgun sequence.